rnacentral:rRNA from 1 species
GACGAACGCUGGCGGCGUGCUUAACACAUGCAAGUCGAACGGAAAGGCCCUGCUUUUGUGGGGUGCUCGAGUGGCGAACGGGUGAGUAACACGUGAGUAACCUGCCCUUGACUUUGGGAUAACUUCAGGAAACUGGGGCUAAUACCGGAUAGGAGCUCCUGCUGCAUGGUGGGGGUUGGAAAGUUUCGGCGGUUGGGGAUGGACUCGCGGCUUAUCAGCUUGUUGGUGGGGUAGUGGCUUACCAAGGCUUUGACGGGUAGCCGGCCUGAGAGGGUGACCGGCCACAUUGGGCCUGAGAUACGGCCCAGACUCCUACGGGAGGCAGCAGUGGGAAAUAUUGCACAAUGGGCGGAAGCCUGAUGCAGCAACGCCGCGUGCGGGAUGACGGCCUUCGGGUUGUAAACCGCUUUCGCCCGUGACGAAGCGUGAGUGACGGUAAUGGGUAAAGAAGCACCGGCUAACUACGUG